rnacentral:rRNA from 1 species
AGGAUCAUUACCGAAUUGUCAACACGAGUUGUUGCUGGNCCCCAAACGGGGGCAUGUGCACGCUCUGUUUGUACAUCCACUCACACCCGUGCACCCUCCGUAGUUCUGCAGCCUGGGGGCUCUGUCCCCCUGCCGUAGCUCUAUGUAUUUACNCNCNCNCACCGNANUANAGUCCCAUGGAAUGUAUACCGCGUUUAACGCAAUACAAUACAACUUUCAGCAACGGAUCUCUUGGCUCUCGCAUCGAUGAAGAACGCAGCGAAAUGCGAUAAGUAAUGUGAAUUGCAGAAUUCAGUGAAUCAUCGAAUCUUUGAACGCACCUUGCGCCCUUUGGCUAUUCCGAAGGGCAUGCCUGUUUGAGUAUCAUGAACACCUCAACUCUCAUGGUUUGCCAUGAUGAGCUUGGACUUUGGGGGUCUUGCUGGCCUGUGGUCAGCUCCUCUCAAAUGAAUCAGCUUGCCAGUGUUUGGUGGCAUCACAGGUGUGAUAACUAUCUACGCUUGUGGUUUUCCAUCAGGUAACCUUCAGUGAUGAAGGUUCGCUGGGGCUCAUAAACGUCUCUCCUCGAUGAGGACAGCUCUUUGAACGUUUGAUCUCAAAUCAGGUAGGACUACCCGCUGAACUUAAGCAUAUCAAUAAGCGGAGGAAAAGAAACUAACAAGGAUUCCCCUAGUAACUGCGAGUGAAGCG